rfam:Limnoraphis robusta CS-951 contig183, whole genome shotgun sequence.
UUGAGCCGGAUGAUGGGAAACUGUCAAGUCCGGUUCUUAGGGGGGAGAGAUGCGGCGACGUAUGCUCUCCUACCCGAC